AUGUAAAGAGCAUCUUUCUCUCUGACGGAGAGAUGGUGUUUGCAAUAUCAGAGCGUUCUCUCAAGGGUUCCUCAGAGUAUCAUGCUCAGGUUCGCUGUAAUGUGAGUGCAUCCAGACGUUCAGGAUGGCGUUACUCUGGAUAUCCCUCAGAGUGGAGCGACCCCGUCUACUGGACCACACGGCCUGGUUUGAGACGACUCCACUCCCUACAUAUCUAUAUAUCUUUGUUGUACAAUACAAGAUAACAUCAUACAUUGUAUAAAUUAGGGGUGUUCAAACCUGUUCCUGGAGGGUCACUAUCCUGCAGAGUUUAACCCUAAUUAAACACACCUGAACCAGCUAAUCAAGGUCUUUAGAUUCACUAGAAACUUCCAGGAUGUUGGCCCUCCAGGAGCAGGAUUGGACACCCUUGGUAUAAACCUUAUUAAUGUAUGUUUUUCUUUCAGAACCUCUUGCGCCACAUCUAGUUACAUUUCUCCUGUACUUCCUCAUUGCGACUCUCGCGUCAGCUGUCUCCAUCAUAGCUUUUAUCAUUCUGGUUAUCGUUCAGCGAAGACUGAGAGAAUGGGACUUGUCUCUUCCCUCUCCUGUCCACAGCAAAGUCUCAGAGGUGUCAGAGCAUCCCCAGAUGGACCACUUCCCCUGCUGUACCGAAUUGAAGGAUCCUGAUAUCAGUAAUGCUCAGAUUGUAGAUGUCCAUCCGCAGUUCUCCUCAUUGUAAGUAAAUUGUAGGCUCUAUUCCUGGAACACUCUGGAAUUUCUGGAAUGGGAAGUCGUAAAAUUCUUUAUAAAGAGAUAAAUAGAGAAGUUUGGGAGAUAAAUGUGAUAGCCAAUUAUUUGUUUUUCCAUGCAGCGAUUCAGAAAAUAUCUUAACCGCUGUUGCCAACAACCAGUACAGAGAAACCGAGGGCACUGGAGUGAUUUUGCAUGUUGAUGAUCCAUGCCUUGUGUCCUUGUGUUCCUCUGGGAAUGCAAUGGGAAGAAAUGGUCCAUUUCAGCCUCGUACCACCAACUUCCAUGACCCAGUUCUCCCAUGUUCAGAGGGAUACAUGCAGAAUCCUGGAACUUCUGUUGGCACUACCCAGAAUGCAUCGCAAGUGGCUUGUUGUCUGAAUGUAGAAAUGGGUGAUGGGUACAUGAAUUGCCCUAAGCCUGAUUUGAUCUCACCUAAACGAAGGACAAAUUUAAGACAAGAUCCACCUUCUUCAGGAAGUGCUCCAGGAAGACUCUGAGUGGUGUAUAUAUUUAUAUAUUCCACAUACUUUCAACUCAUCUAAAAGAAUACAAACAUGUACAAAGAUAUCAAAUAACGAAGGAAAUCACAGAAACUCAUGGCUGCUGUUUCUGCAGUGACCACCAGAGUGUAGUACAGUACUACAUAAUCUACUGUAGUUUGAGACUUUGGGCGAUGCCAGGAGUGUGCAAGCCUACUCCUGGAGAUCCACUGUUUUGCAGAGUUCAGCUCCGACCCCAAUUAAAUAUACCCCAUGAAACAUGAAAUCAUGAAAUGAACAUGAACAAAGUGAAAUCUCCAGGCAAGUGUGUUGGGGCACAUUGGAGCUUAAAUCAUUGGUUUUCGAGGAGCAGGAUUAAACACCCCUCAAUCACCCUUUGCUUUAUAAGCUUACAUGCACAUUAUUGUUUCACUCAAUAAAAUGUAGUUGUCUGCCAAAUAUAUCUCUUUAAUCUUGGAUAUUGUGUCUUGUGUAACUACUAAAUAUUUCACUC
rnacentral:lncRNA from 1 species